rnacentral:RNase_P_RNA from 1 species
UAAGUAGACCGUCUUAUCGCUCAUUUAUGAGAGGAAAGUCCGGACACCACAGAGUAGCAUAGCGGAUAACAUCCGUCCAGCGUAAGUUGAGGACAAGUGCAACAGAAAGCAAGUACAGUUCGGCUGUAGUGAAACCAGGUAAACUCUAUGCGGUGCAAUGUCACGUAUAUUGAAAUUUUAAAGUCACUCGCUUUAUUUCAAGGGGUAGGCAGCUAAAACUACUAAGUAAUUUUUAGUUUAGAUAAAUGAUAAGAGCUUCUUUGAAGUACAAAAUCCGGCUUAUAGGUCUACUUAUUUU